CAUUGACGUGAUGAUACCGUGUUCGGAAAAUACAAUGAUGUCGACUAAAAAACAACAGACUACAAUUAUCUGAUCAAUG